GGACUCUGCCAUUCUCGUGGGUCUAAGGUAAGGGUCCGUGAUAGGGCAGUCACUCUGGAUGUCCUCUGCUCCCUACAGGAUAGAGGUGAACUGAGAUACAGUAUCGAAGAGAAACAGACCAUCGUGGCAGGUGUGAAUGUGUACCUUAAUCCUUAAUUUGCGGGACCCCUUUGCCCUUGUCUAUUGUGCACUAGGGAGUGCUCUCAAAUAGGGCACGAAAAGAAAACCUGACGGUGCUGAAUGAAGUCUAGCCUUCCUUGUACCUCUGCCCAGAAAGUUCUAUCGCUGGGUUGUAUCUGCUGCCUGCCCACCCCAGCCAAGAGCUGAGGCGCAUGAGAGGAUCCUGAGCAUCCCCAGAAGGGUGUGUCUGCUGUGUGGCUCAGAAUUCAUACUAAAACCUCGCUCAAAACUAAGGAAAAAAAAACCAUAACAAAAAACCUCGCUCAAAACAGCAUUUCUAUUAGGUAUAAAGGGGGCUUAAUGUGGGGUAGAGUGCUUGCAACGCAAGGCCCUGGGUUCAGUCCCUAGCUCUGUGUGUGUGUAUGUGUGUAUAGUCAUACUAAAAGAAUUCUAUGGUCCUAAAUAUUUUAAAAUGUUACUUACGGCUGGAGAGAUGGAUCAGCAGUUAAAAACAGGUGUCACUCUUGUAGAAGACCUGGAUUUGAGUCCCAGCAUCCACAUGGCAGCUCAAACUGUCUGUUGCUUCAGUCCCAGGAUAUCUGACUUCCUCACCCACAUACAUACAUGCAGGCAAAACAUCCAUACACUUAAAAUGUUUUAAAAGGGAGCUCCUUUGUUAAUAAAAGUUUGCAUGGAACAGAACUUGAAGGUUUCCCUUAAUAUGUAUCUGGAGAGAAACCAUGAUGACCGUGGCUAACUGCACACAGCGCCACUGCUGACAAGAAGUUGCUUUCUCAUGGUUGGUGUCUUUAGGGUUUCUCUGCAGUUCCUGCCGUGGUUAAAUACAUUGGCUUGCUGGAGAGUUCCUGAAAUUAGCCUGCAUAAUGUGCCUUAGCAGGUUGAUGCAUAACAUCAGACAAAAGUUGUCCUUCAGAUUGGCAAGAUUUGUAACAUUUUUGCUGUGACUCCUGCCCUGGCCUCUAGCUUGGUCUACAGGCAGAUGCCAGUGUGCCACUCUGCCAAGAAUACUGUAGUACUGUAAAGGCACAAGUUCUCUCCUAAAGCAAUGUGACCACCAUUUGGUUGAGUAAACACCCCAAAAUGCUGCUCAGCAAAGACAUCACUAUCUCCCUUAAGAUGAACAAGCUUCAUUUUGGCAGCUGUGAUAGAUCCCAGGUCCCUUUCUAGCAAACACUUUAAGUCAUGACACACAUGUACUGUAUUACAAACUCAUGAAAGCAAAGUGUUGGGGCCUGUCACUUCAAGAGCAAAAGUCUAAAGUGGCUGUCAUUUAGUAGCACAGUGUUUCUGGAAUGCUAAAGAAUUUUAACCUAUUAAAGGAGAAAUGAAGAUAGGUGUGGCAAUGCAUGCUUGUUAUCCUUCACCUGGGAGGCUAACACAGUGCAGAGCUGAGGCCAGCUCGUCAAGGCUAUCAGAUGGGAACUUUAUCCCAGAGGCUGAGUAGUCAAGUCUGCUUAGUGUUAUUACACAGGACCUGAGUUUAGUUCCCAUUUCAGGUGGCUAACAACUGCCUUUAACUUCAAGGGAUCCAAAGCCCUCCUCAGGCACCUGUACCCACAUAGUUUAAAAAGAAUCCUUUUCUUUUAAAAGGAAAAAAACCCUUUAUUUUAAUAAAAAGUAAUUUUAUUGCUGAAAGUACUCUCUAAUCUUGUUGCUGUUUUAAACUUAGUAGUAAAACUUAAGACAUCAUUUCAGAAGUGAAACCAUCCAGGGAAAUUAUCUGGAUAUGAACGUCUUAGAUUUUGAACUGCAAUGUGCUUUGUUACUGACUAGCUUAGGAAAAGCUGAAUAUGCAAUCCCCCAGAUAGGCCUGCCUGUCAUCAUUUCAUAGGGAACAUACUUUUAGAAUCUGCACAUCACACGAGGCUUGUACAAAUACUUACAUACUGUGUUCGGGUGCUGAUUCUCUGGCCACUGUGGAAAGCAUACUGUUGUAAAAUGACAUCUUAGCCAGUUAGAAAUGUAAAAGCCACCCACCGGGGAGUGUCCUUUAUAGGGAGACUGUCUUAAAUUAGACUGGAAAGUGAAGCACACAGCAGACUCACUUCUGCUUCUCAUUUGUUACAACAGGUACUCAACAGAUGUCUACCCCCAAACUAAAUAGCUGGUUUUGUAAAGCAGGUGUAACAAUGUAGCAUUAUGAGAAAAAUACUUGUUUCAACUAGUAUGAAAUGUAUCCAACAGACUCUUCCAUAGCAACUGGGCGUAACUAGGACUUCCGUGGUUCAGCAGCAGGGUGUCCCGUCCUUUUCUGUCUUUAUGCAAUUGUGCUCUUGAGUAUCCUUGUCUCGCUGAAGGCACUGAUAGCCCACACCUCAAGUGUGCCUUUAAGCCUGACUGAGUAUUUCUCUAUGAGGUAUCUUGGAGGCAUUUUUCUCCUCCUAAAAUAAGUUCCAACACAUGAAGCCAACUGACUGAAUGCCAGCCAUGCCUAAAGCUUAACUAUAGAAGCUGGGGACUUAUGCCAUGGUUCACAGUAUUCUGAGGCAUGACAGGUACACCCCUCUAUCUGUACAGUUGCUUGUGAAAUACUGUUGCAGCAAGCUCAUACUGUAAUCAAUAAAGUGCUUUUCACC
rnacentral:lncRNA from 1 species